GUAGACAUAGUUUAAUAAAAAUUUUAGUUUGUGGUUCUAAAGACAGGGGUUAAACCCCCUUGUCCACC
rnacentral:tRNA from 1 species